ACGAAAUAACACACACAUACACUAUACUAAAAUAAACACACAUACACAGGCGGCACAUGGCGGCAGCCACCACCUCACGGUGGUGGCUGUGGUGGCUUUUCUCGUAACUCCGGCCAACAAUACUCCAUACUACACUCCCUCGGGAUAAACACGCACGCACCAAAAUGUACCCAUAGCCACCCCACACACGGUGGUCGAAGGUGGCAGAGAACAAAACGACGACAAGGUGGUUCUCCUUGAGCUUUUCUGUACAGCGAACAACCCUUUACACGCCACGGAGGAGCAGCGAUAUACACACACACAAACACGACAGCAGUAGCAGCGAAAAAUGUUCGCUCGCUAGCAGGUCCCCGUCGUCGCCGGCGACAAGAGCUACGAUUGANCAGCCACCACAUCAUGGUGGUGGCUGUGGUGGCUUUUCUCGUAACCCCGGCCAACAAUACUCCAUACUACACUCCCUCGGGAUAAACACGCACGCACCAAAAUGUACCCAUAGCCACCCCACACACGGUGGUCGAAGGUGGCAGAGAACAAAACGACGACAAGGUGGUUCUCCUUGAGCUUUUCUGUACAGCGAACAACCCUUUACACGCCACGGAGGAGCAGCGAUAUACACACACACAAACACGACAGCAGUAGCAGCGAAAAAUGUUCGCUCGCUAGCAGGUCCCCGUCGUCGCCGGCGACAAGAGCUACGAUUGACAUCAUCAGAGGCAGCAGAAGCUUCGUCUUCAGCGGGUGGCGCAUCGGCGGUUCGUCACAGAGCUACGAGCAAAAAAAGAACAAGCAGCGAAGGGUGGUACCAGUGGCGGCGGAAAACGAUGGCAAUAAAGCUCAGAAAAGCCCACCUUGGCGAACGACGGCUCACCGUCUCCAUCGACCCUCGGCGGUUCUCCGACAACAGCGUCGCAAUGGCGACCUUCCCUAGCAGCGUAGUAGCCGGCGGUACUCAAUGGUGAGGUGGUAGGCAUCUCCGCUGAUCGGAACAACGAACAGAAGGGAGGUGGUGGCGGCUGACUUCUCCCAUGGCGGCUGGAAAGGCUCUCCUUAGGGUUAGGGUAGGCAACGGUUAUAUACUCCCGAGCCCCAUAAGCAUUAUU
rnacentral:lncRNA from 1 species